AGUAAACGGCGGCCGUAACUAUAACGGUCCUAAGGUAGCGAAAUUCCUUGUCGGGUAAGUUCCGACCCGCACGAAAGGCGUAACGAUUUGGGCACUGUCUCAACAACAGACUCGGUGAAAUUGUAAUUCCGGUGAAGAUGCCGGAUACCUGCGACAGGACGGAAAGACCCCAUGGAGCUUUACUGUAGCUUGACAUUGGGUCUUGGUACUACAUGUACAGGAUAGGUGGGAGGCUUUGAAACCAGGACGCCAGUUUUGGCGGAGCCAUCCUUGGGAUACCACCCUUGUAGUACUGGGACUCUAACCAUAGGCCAUGAAUCUGGUCUUGGGACACUGUCAGGUGGGCAGUUUGACUGGGGCGGUCGCCUCCCAAAAGGUAACGGAGGCGCUCAAAGGUUCUCUCAGUACGGUCGGAAAUCGUACGUAGAGUGUAAAGGCAAAAGAGAGCUUGAUUGCAAGACAUACAGGUCGAGCAAGGAUGAAAAUCGGACUUAGUGAUCCGGUGGUUCUGCGUGGAAGGGCCAUCGCUCAACGGAUAAAAGCUACCCUGGGGAUAACAGGCUUAUCUCCCCCAAGAGUCCACAUCGACGGGGAGGUUUGGCACCUCGAUGUCGGCUCAUCACAUCCUGGGGCUGUAGUAGGUCCCAAGGGUUGGGCUGUUCGCCCAUUAAAGUGGUACGCGAGCUGGGUUCAGAACGUCGUGAGACAGUUCGGUCCCUAUCCGUCGCAGGCGUAGGAAAUUUGAGAAGACCUGUCCUUAGUACGAGAGGACCGGGAUGGACGUACCUCUGGUGUACCAGUUGUCCUGCCAAGGGCAUGGCUGGGUAGCUAUGUGCGGAAUGGAUAAGCGCUGAAAGCAUCUAAGCGCGAAGCCAACUUCAAGAUAAGAUUUCCCACCGCAAGGGUAAGACCCCAGAAAGACUAUCUGGUUGAUAGGUCGAAGGUGUAAGUGCAGCAAUGUAUUUAGCUUAUCGAUACUAAUAGGUCGAGGACUUGACCAA
rnacentral:rRNA from 1 species